GAGGGUAUGGCUCAGUGGUAGAGUGCGUGCUUAGUAUGCUCGAGGUCCUGGGUUCAAUCCCAGGAACUUCA
rnacentral:tRNA from 1 species